UACAGAGGGUGCGAGCGUUAAUCGGAAUUACUGGGCGUAAAGCGUGCGUAGACGGUUAUUUAAGUCGGGUGUGAAAGCCCCGGGCUCAACCUGGGAAUUGCAUUCGAGACUGAAUAGCUAGGGUACGGUAGAGGGAAGCGGAAUUUCCGGUGUAGCGGUGAAAUGCGUAGAUAUCGGGAGGAACACCGGUGGCGAAGGCGGCGACCUGGGUAGAUACUGACGCUGAGGUGCGAAAGCGUGGGGAGCAAACAGG
rnacentral:rRNA from 1 species